rnacentral:rRNA from 1 species
AUUGAACGCUGGCGGCAGGCCUAACACAUGCAAGUCGAGCGAGCGGCGGACGGGAGAGUAGUGUAUGGGGCUCUGCCCGAUAGAGGGGGAUAACUAGUGGAAACGGUCGCUAAUACCGCAUACUAUCGGAUGCCCAUAUAUGGGAUUAGCGAGUGGGUGGGGUAAUGGCUCACCUAGGCGACGAUCUCUAGCUGGUCUGAGAGGAUGAUCAGCCACACUGGGACUGAGACACGGCCCAGACUCCUACGGGAGGCAGCAGUGGGGAAUAUUGCACAAUGGGCGCAAGCCUGAUGCAGCCAUGCCGCGUGUAUGAAGAAGGCCUUAGGGUUGUAAAGUACUUUCAGCGGGGAGGCGUUACCCACAGAAGAAGCACCGGCUAACUCCGUGCCAGCAGCCGCGGUAAUUC